rnacentral:misc_RNA from 1 species
GAAAUGCGAUAAGUAAUGUGAAUUGCAGAAUUCAGUGAAUCAUCGAGUCUUUGAACGCAAAACAACCAUUUUUUCCAGGUUGACCUCGGAUCAGGUAGGGAUACCCGCUGAACUUAA